rnacentral:rRNA from 1 species
GUGGGCUCGGAGACAUUAACGAGUUUUAAGUGGGCUUGAUGCUGGCUUUACCAAAAGCAUGUGCUCAGCCUCGCUCUAAUCCACUCAACCCCUGUGCACUAUUCGGAGUGUUGCAAGCUGAGACUUGAAUAGGUCUUGGUCGCGUUUCUAAUGCGGCUGGGUUCUAAGACAGUCAAGGCUUGUCCUCCGGUCUAUAUACAAACUCUUAUAAUGUCUUGUAGAAUGUGUUAGCCUCUCGUUAGGCGAAACUUAAAUACAACUUUCAACAACGGAUCUCUUGGCUCUCGCAUCGAUGAAGAACGCAGCGAAAUGCGAUAAGUAAUGUGAAUUGCAGAAUUCAGUGAAUCAUCGAAUCUUUGAACGCACCUUGCGCUCCUUGGUAUUCCGAGGAGCAUGCCUGUUUGAGUGUCAUGUUAAUAUCAACCCCGUCGGUUUGUAAAUCAGACCGUUGGGUGUUGGACUUGGAGGUUCUUGCUGGCUGCAAAGUCGGCUCCUCUUGAAUGCAUUAGCUUGGGCCUGUUGUGCGUGCUCGCGGUGUAAUAAGUUUUAUUCAUCGUUUGGGUCGUACACUUAUUGGGCUUGCUUCUAACUGUCUUCGGACAAAUAUAACCUUUGACUCUGACCUCAAAUCAGGUAGGACUACCCGCUGAACUUAAGCAUAUCAAAAAGCGGGAGGAAACGGG